UUUUGUUGCUCUCAACAGGUGCUGCGUGUAAGAACAAGACAAGGAAACAACUACACACCUUCCAAAGCCAAAAUGUAUUUUUAAAUUGAAGGCUGCCCUCUGAAAUAAUUCAAAAUACCUCUCUAUCUUAGGAAAAGUUUAUGAUUAACGGAUAUGUUAUUUUUAUUUCUACCAGUGCCUAUAGCGCCCACAUUUGCAUCUUUAAAUUUUCCACUCUGUACUUCUUGUCUGGAGAAAACCUUGGGCUAGAGAUAAGGCCACUUCUAAAAAUGUAUUUCUAGCAGCUCACACUUCCAGUCCACCAGUCUGGGUCUGAGGCUGUGUCAAGAUCAUGAAGUACAUACUGUUUGUUGCCUUUGUUGGUGUGGCUGUUGCCUUUCCCGUCAACACUGACGAUGAUGAUGA
rnacentral:lncRNA from 1 species